AUGCAUGAGUUAACUAAGGAAAACAUUGAGCGUAUGAAUGCUAAAUAUAAACUUGCUGGAGAUAAGGGUAGAAAACAUGUUGUGUUUGCACCUGGAGAUCUUGUUUGGUUACAUUUGCGUAAGGAUAGAUUUCCUGAUUUGCGCAAAUCAAAGCUAAUGCCACGUGCUGAUGGUCCCUUUAAGGUGUUAGAGAAAAUAAAUGAUAAUGCAUAUAAACUUGAGCUGCCUGCAGAUUUUGGGGUUAGUCCCACUUUUAACAUUGCAGAUUUGAAGCCUUAUUUGGGUGAGGAAGAUGAACUUCCGUCGAGGACGACUUCAUUUCAAGAAGGGGAGGAUGAUGAGGACAUCAAUACAAUUGUUACACCCACAGCCCCUGCUGCUAUACAUACUGGACCAAUUACUAGAGCUCGUGCACGCCAACUAAAUUACCAGGAAACAGACCCUCGUGGUCAGGUUGAUCGUGCUCCGGCGUGGUCAAUAACCUCUCGGAGUUGGUUUAGCGAUUGCUAA
rnacentral:rRNA from 1 species